GGAUGUGAGGGCGAUCUGGCUGCGACAUCUGUCACCCCAUUGAUCGCCAGGGUUGAUUUGGCUGAUCUGGCUGGCUAGGCGGGUGUCCCCUUCCUCCCUCACCGCUCCAUGUGCGUCCCUCCCGAAGCUGCGCGCUCGGUCGAAGAGGACGGCCUUCCCCGAAUAGAGACGGACCGGUCUUCGGUCGAGGGUAUACGAGUAGCUGCGCUCCCCUGCUAGAACCUCCAAACAAGCUCUCAAGGUCCAUUUGACUUAUUACUUUCUGUCUGGUUAGGAUAAUCAAACAUUCAGCAAAGAAGGAUAAAAGCACAGUAGGUGGUAU
rnacentral:snRNA from 1 species